CAGUCGCCGCGGGAAUACGUAGGUGGCAAGCGUUGUCCGGAAUUAUUGGGCGUAAAGGGCUCGCAGGCGGUUUCUUAAGUCUGAUGUGAAAGCCCCCGGCUCAACCGGGGAGGGUCAUUGGAAACUGGGAAACUUGAGUGCAGAAGAGGAGAGUGGAAUUCCACGUGUAGUGGUGAAAUGCGUAGAGAUGUGGAGGAACACCAGUGGCGAAGGCGACUCUCUGGUCUGUAACUGACGCUGAGGAGCGAAAGCGUGGGGGAGCGAACAGGAUUAGAGACCCGCGUAGUCCCUGUCUCUUAUA
rnacentral:rRNA from 1 species